rnacentral:rRNA from 1 species
GACGAGCGCUGGCGGCGUGCUUAACACAUGCAGGUCGAACGGAAAGGCCCUGCUUUUGUGGGGUGCUCGAGUGGCGAACGGGUGAGUAACACGUGAGUAACCUGCCCUUGACUUUGGGAUAACUUCAGGAAACUGGGGCUAAUACCGGAUAGGAGCUCCUGCUGCAUGGUGGGGGUUGGAAAGUUUCGGCGGUUGGGGAUGGACUCGCGGCUUAUCAGCUUGUUGGUGGGGUAGUGGCUUACCAAGGCUUUGACGGGUAGCCGGCCUGAGAGGGUGACCGGCCACAUUGGGACUGAGAUACGGCCCAGACUCCUACGGGAGGCAGCAGUGGGGAAUAUUGCACAAUGGGCGGAAGCCUGAUGCAGCAACGCCGCGUGCGGGAUGACGGCCUUCGGGUUGUAAACCGCUUUCGCCUGUGACGAAGCGUGAGUGACGGUAAUGGGUAAAGAAGCACCGGCUAACUACGUG